UCACAACCCAUUUGAUCCAUCUCUUAGCCCAAUCUCGCGCCUCUCUUGGUUACGUAUUGCUCUCUUCUAAACAUGACCACGUGGGUAAUUCUGUGAGUCUCAUUUUAAUUUUUUUUUCCUUUUGUCGUCUUAAAUUUAAAGCAAAAUCCAAAAGUCGGAGAAUUCGAUUUUGUAACGUCGUCCACCACCAUCAAAGCUAUGAACAGCUUCAACUCCAUUAUGUCAUCCAUGCUCUUCAUCCCCCUUGACUCCACCUAUUUAAAUUCCCCUGAAUCCAAAUCUCAUCUGGAUUAACAUUUAGACCAAAAAAAAAAAUCUCAUCUGGUAGCUUCCAUGGAUGAGAAACAAUCAGAUUUCCAGCCCCAAAGCUCCGGCAAUAUCGACCACCGUAUUCAUGGCUAAGAAUCUGAAAUCACCACCAAAGCUCCAACUGAAUCGACCACCGGUUUCAUGGAUAAGAAAAAGGGGCUGCUUGGCUCCAUCUACAGCCCUGAUCCUGCAAAAAAUAAGAUCUUCAGAGGGCUUGAUCUGUUAUUUAUGGCAAAGAGAUAUGGCCUGAUAUUCUAUGUCCCUGAAUUUCAUAUUUUUUUGGUAUCAUCUAACCUAAUUCUACAUCUCAACAUGAAUAUGUGAUACAAGGUGCAUAACUCAGAACCGUGUGAGCCGGUAUAAACAUUUUCUGAAACGUCGCUCUCAGCCUCUUUAACCUCUUAUCUUAAUUUUUGUAACACUUUCAAGGUCCUAUCUGUUCUUCAAAAACAGAGUUUAGCGUUGAGUUCGACUGGUUCUGGUUCCAUUCAUCCAAAGAGUUUGAAGCAGGUUGUGUUCUUAAAGGCGAUCUGUAUGGUAAUGUAUAGGUUGUGUUGUCGAAUAGAAUAUAUUAUGCAAAUAGUAUGGCAAUCCAGGGAAUAUCAAGCCCUAUAUUAAGUGACGAUUUGAUUUAAUUAUUUAAACAGUGUUAUUCAAAAUCUUGAAUGGAUCGUUUCUCAGUUAUGUUGUUGUUGCAGGUAGAUCUUCAAGGCUCUGCUUUUGAGUUAUGUUGAUGCAAGUGGGAGCGGUUUAGUAGCUGAAAUAUAGUAUAUCAGUGACAGAAGCAUAAAGAAGAUCCGCUUCAUUACAUUGCUGCCGUAAGUAAGCCAUCUUUCUCCCCAGAUGUGGUGUUCAGUUACUCUGAUACACAAGCUCAUACUGACCGAUAUCAGCUACUCAAGAAUUACUAUGAAGAUAUAUGUGCUUUGGAACAGUCAAAUAAAGUAAUGAAGUUGAGGGUGAUCUUUUUGAGCUCAUGUUUGGUGUUCCUUCUAGGUCUCAAACUGACGAGACAAUGAUCGAUGUUGCAAAGUCUAAAGACAGCCAAGAGCAGCAUGAGCCAGUGAAAGCCAACACCUGUGACUGUUCUCCUGUCUCAAUCCUUAAACCGCUAACACCUCCAGAAACACCAAGUAAAGAAAGUCCAACUAUAGGAAGCUCUUUUGUGCGAGAAAAACUGCAUCCUGGUGCAGCUAUGACUACCGAGGAAAGAGCUGGUGUCACCACUCAGAAAGGAUUUGUUAACGGAGCGUGAAGAUAAUCAUAGUUAGGUUAAUGAUGUAUCAAUGGAGCCUAAGGUUGAGUGAGAAGAGGUUGAAUUAUCUCCCACCAGAAGUUUUGAGCAUAACAACUUUGAAGUUUAGAGUGAAUGGCGUCGAGUCUGUGCAGGCUGUACUGAACCUGGAGCAAAGAGAAACACUCCCCCUGAGGAUGAUGGAAAUAAAACUACUCAAAACUCAAAGUUACCAGAAGGCAAGGAAAACUACUCUGAAACUAUUGCUUUAGGAAGCAAGUUUGGUGGUCAGGUUUCUUAUGGUGGAGAGCAUAAAGAAGGUAUGAAUUGUGGCCGAAUGAUAAAUGUGAGCAAAAACAAGACUGUAAGGGUGGUUAACUCGAACGAGGGUGAAGAUGGAUCGUUUUUCACAUUCAGAACGGUAUCUGCAACCUGUAAAGCCCAUUGCAAAGCAUGUUCCACUGAUAAUACAAGUCGGUGAAUGUAACUCUCGGAAUGAUUCUCGAAUUUUCUAUGGCAAUGAUUCAUUUUAUGUUC